AGAGAUAAACCCCAUAACAGAAACAUAAACCCCAAACUCUUCUUCUUCUUCUUCUUCUUCUUCUUCUUCUUCUCCUCCUCCCCUCAAAAUGGUUCUUCUCCAUUGCAAUCAGAGUGUGGCCACACUCACACUCUCACCCAUUUCAUUCUUCUCUUCCAAUUCCAAACCAUUCUCCGUUUCUCUUCGCAACAACAACAACCCUACCUUUUCAACAAGAACCAAUUCCCCUUUCUCACUCUCCACCAUGCCAAGAAAAUUCCUAUGCAACCCUCCCAAGGGUAAAUACGUCAGAGAAGAUUACCUCGUGAAAAAGUUGUCAGCAGAGGAAAUUCAAGAGCUUGUAAAGGGAGAAAGAAAUGUGCCUCUUAUUAUUGAUUUUUAUGCAACAUGGUGUGGACCCUGCAUCUUAAUGGCUCAAGAACUUGAAAUGCUUGCAGUUGAGUACGAGAAGAAUGCGAUGAUUGUGAAGGUUGAUACAGAUGAUGAAUAUGAAUUUGCACGUGACAUGCAGGUCCGAGGGCUCCCGACUGUGUUCUUCAUUAGUCCGGAUCCGAACAAGGAUGCGAUCCGAACCGAAGGGCUGGUCCCGAUACAGAUGAUGAGGGACAUCAUUGACAAUGAAAUGUGAGACAUUAGAUGGUGCUGAUUCGCCAUAAAGAAAGUGGGGUUGCAAUAUCCUGUCUGGUGUAACGUUGCAAGUGACAAGAAUGGUUUUCUAACAUCCUAUGAAAUAAUAAAACGAAAAACAGAAGACAAGGAAACAGGCUUCAGCGAGAAUGAAGCUUACAUUGUCAGAUUUGCUUGCAAGAUACAUGAAAUGUAGCAUCAGGUAGUUGUUUGAGUUGUUUAAAUCUUAUUUUUCGAAUUUGAUCUUUAGAAGCAACAAGUUUUAUGACCAUUCUCUCUUCAUUGAAGUGAACGAUGAUGAAAUUAGAGAUUAGUUCUUGAUUUUGGACUCGCAUGGGUUAAAACUCAGGUGCAAUCGACUUCAUGUAAAGUUGAUAGUUGAGAACCGUUAGAUGAAAAUUUAGUAAAAUCAGUCAAAUUAUCUAACGAUUUUCAGUUAUCGACUUCACGUGAAGUCGACUGCACCUGAGUUUCUACCACAAACUAAUUGUUCUUCUUUAAAUUAGGUUAAUCUUGUCAAUGCUAUUAUUUAGAACCUAAACCUUUAAAUAGAAUAAUUAGAGUCCAAUAAUUAAGUGUAAGAAAAACG